rnacentral:lncRNA from 1 species
GUUUCGGGUUAUACUCGACCAAAAAUAUAUGGUUUGUUAAUGUUUUGAUAUAAAUAUUUUUUUUAAAAUAUCCCUUUUUACAAUAUUUCAGUUAAGACCUGAUAAAGGUGAAUUACAGGUAAUUAUCACGCUGCAAGUCCUGAUGAGGACCCCCUAAUCCCUUAUGUUGUUUUAGUCUAAUUAUCAAAUGUUGGAGAAAUGUGACUAAACCCUGCUGUCACUACACAGUUCUUGUUCUGAUAAUUAAUGAAUGAUACAAUCAAUGAACAUUCAAAUCUAAAUAUCAUAUAGUAAGUUCAAUAGAUGUCACUCUUUUAAAAUUACAUUCAACUUAGACAGAAUUUAUUUACUUCCACUCAAAUAAUUGUAGAAAUAUUGCAAAAAAAAACCUCAUGUGAUCGAACUGACAAUUCAGGAAAAUUUUAUAGACUGGGAUGAAUUAAGACAACACAUUUAUGAACAAUUUCAUAUACAUUUUCAUAUGAAAAUAAAUAUUUGACAUGAUAAAAGGCUUUCAGCAUUAGUUGCAGGUUUCCAGCUUUAAGCCUCAUUCUGAAUCUCUUUAAGUAUAUAAAUAUUAUUGGUAUGAUAUCUAGUAAAACAUUAAAUAUGGGCAUUACAUGUAUUAUUACUGUAAAAAUAUUUAUAUCUACUUUAACUUUG